rnacentral:rRNA from 1 species
UACGUAGGGGGCGAGCGUUGUUCGGAUUUACUGGGCGUAAAGGGCGCGCAGGCGGUCUUGUAAGUCAGGCGUGAAAGCCCCGGGCUUAACCUGGGAAUUGCGCUUGAUACUCUGAGACUGGAGUACGGGAGAGGAGAGUGGAAUUCCCAGUGUAGAGGUGAAAUUCGUAGAUAUUGGGAAGAACACCAGUGGCGAAGGCGGCUCUCUGGACCGUAACUGACGCUGAGGCGCGAAAGCGUGGGGAGCAAACAGG